UACGUAGGGGGCUAGCGUUGUCCGGAAUCAUUGGGCGUAAAGGGUGCGUAGGCGGCGCGGUAAGUCGGGUGUGAAAUCUCGGAGCUUAACUCCGAAACUGCAUUCGAUACUGCCGUGCUUGAGGACUGGAGAGGAGACUGGAAUUUACGGUGUAGCGGUGAAAUGCGUAGAUAUCGUAAGGAAGACCAGUGGCGAAGGCGGGGUCUCUGGACAGUUCCUGACGCUGAGGCACGAAGGUCAGGGGAGCAAACGGG
rnacentral:rRNA from 1 species